rnacentral:rRNA from 1 species
UACGAAGGGGGCUAGCGUUGCUCGGAAUUACUGGGCGUAAAGGGUGCGCAGGCGGUUAUAUAAGACAGAUGUGAAAUCCCCGGGCUCAACCUGGGAACUGCGUUUGUGACUGUAUGACUAGAGUACGGUAGAGAGGGGUGGAAUUCCUGGUGUAGCAGUGAAAUGCGUAGAUAUCAGGAGGAACAUCGAUGGCGAAGGCAGCCCCUUGGACCUGUACUGACGCUCAUGCACGAAAGCGUGGGGAGCAAACAGG